AAUCAACGCUGGCGGCGUGCCUAACACAUGCAAGUCGAACGAGAAAGGGGAGCAAUCCCUGAGUAAAGUGGCGACCGGGUGAGUAACACGUGACUAACCUGCCUUCGAGUGGGGGAUAACCUCGGGAAACCGGGGCUAAUACCGCAUAAUGCCUUCGGGUUAAAGGAGCAAUUCGCUUGAAGAGGGGGUCGCGGCUGAUUAGCUAGUUGGCGGGGUAACGGCCCACCAAGGCGAUGAUCGGUAGCCGGCCUGAGAGGGCGCACGGCCACACUGGAAC
rnacentral:rRNA from 1 species